rnacentral:rRNA from 1 species
ACAAACGCUGGCGGCGUGCCCAACACAUGCAAGUCGAACGGAGUAGGCCUUUCGGGGUCUAUCGAGUGGCGGACGGGUGAGUAAGACGUGGGCGACCUGCCGCUUGGAGGGGGGAUACCCCGCGGAAACGCGGGAUAAGACCGCAUACGCUGGUCUGGGUAGAUCUGGAUCAGGAAAACGCUUCGGCGUGCCAAGUGAGGGGCCUGCGGCCGAUUAGCUAGUUGGGGGUGGGUAACGGCCUCCCAAGGCGACGAUCGGUAGCUGGUCUGAGAGGACGAUCAGCCACACUGGGAUUGAGAACGGCCCAGACUCCUACGGGGGGCAGCAGUGAGGGAUCUUCGGCAAUGGGGGAAACCCUGACCGAGCGACGCCGCGUGCGGGGACGAAGGCCUUCGGGUCGUAAACCGCUUUUCUUGGGGACGAGAAUGGACGGUACCCGAGGAAGAAGCCUCGGCUAACUACGUGCCAGCAGCCGCGGGUAAUACGUAGGAGGCUGAGCGUUGUCCGGAGUUACUGGGUCGUAAAGGGUGCGUAGGCGGCCGCGCGCGUGGAGGGUGAAAUCUCUCGGCUUACCCCGGGAGGGGGCUUUCCAGACUGGCGUGGCUUGAGGGACGGAGAGGGGCGUGGAAUUCUCGGGUGGAGGCGGUGAAAUGCGUAGAGAUCCGGAGGAACACCGACGGCGUAGGCAGCGCCCCUGGCCGUUUCCUGACGCUGAAGCACGAAAGCUGGGGGAGCAAACAGGAUUAGAUACCCUGGUAGUCCCAGCCUCUAAACGAUGUCCACGGGUGCCGGGGGGUAUCGACCCCCUCGGUGCCGAAGCUAACGUGAUGAGUGGACCGCCUGGGGAGUACGGCCGCAAGGUUGAAACUCAAAGGAAUUGACGGGGGCCCGCACAAGCAGCGGAGCGUGUGGUUUAAUUCGAUGCGACGCGAAGAACCUUACCUGGGCUUGACAUGUGAUUGCACCAGGGGUAAUGCCCUGUCCGCGCAAGCGGCGGUCACACAGGUGCUGCAUGGCUGUCGUCAGCUCGUGCCGUGAGGUGUUGGGUUAAGUCCCCUAACGAUGCGCAACCCCUGGGGUCCGUUACCAAGGUGUGUCGGGCCCGACUGCCGCGCGCAACGCGGAGGAAGGCGGGGAUGACGUCAAGUCAGCACGGCCCUGACGUCCAGGGGCGACUACACACGCUACAAUGGCCGAUACAACGGGUCGCGAAGCCGCGAGGCGGAGCCAAUCCCACCAAAGUCGGCCUCAGUUCGGAUCGCAGGCUGCAACCCGCCUGCGUGAAGCCGGAGUUGCUAGUAACCGCGGGUCAGCACACCGCGGUGAAUACGUUCCCGGGCCUUGUACACACCGCCCGUCACACCACGAAAGCCGGGGACACCUGAAGCCGCUGGGCGAACUCUUUUAGAGAAGCAGGCGUCGAGGGUGGAAUCGGUGAUUGGGGUG